rnacentral:rRNA from 1 species
UGAGGAAUAUUGCGCAAUGGGGGAAACCCUGACGCAGCAAUGCCGCGUGAGCGAUGAAGCCUUUUGGGGUGUAAAGCUCUGUCAAGAGGGAAGAUUAUGACGGUACCUCUAGAGGAAGUCACGGCUAAUUACGUGCCAGCAGCCGCGGUAAUACGUAAGUGGCAAGCGUUAUCCGAAUUUACUGGGCAUAAAGCGCACGCAGGCGGUCAAUUAAGUUAGUUGUGAAAGACUACAGCUUAACUGUAGUUUGCUUCUAAUACUGAUUGACUAGAGAACAGGAGAGGAAAGUGGAACACACGGUGUAGCGGUGAAAUGCGUAGAUAUCGUGGGGAACACCAGUGGCGAAGGCGACUUUCUGGACUGAUUCUGACGCUGAGGUGCGAAAGCGUGGGGAGCGAACGGG